GAUGAACGCUGGCGGCGUGCCUAAUACAUGCAAGUCGAGCGAACAGACGAGGAUCUUGCUCCUCUGACGUUAGCGGCGGACGGGUGAGUAACACGUGGAUAACCUACCUAUAAGACUGGGAUAACUUCGGGAAACCGGAGCUAAUACCGGAUAAUAUAUUGAACCGCAUGGUUCAAUAGUGAAAGACGGUUUUGCUGUCACUUAUAGAUGGAUCCGCGCCGCAUUAGCUAGUUGGUAAGGUAACGGCUUACCAAGGCAACGAUGCGUAGCCGACCUGAGAGGGUGAUCGGCCACACUGGAACUGAGACACGGUCCCGACUCCUACAGGAGGCAGCUGUAGGGAAUCUUCCGCAAUGGGCGAAAGCCUGACGGAGCAACGCCGCGUGAGUGAUGAAGGUCUUCGGAUCGUAAAACUCUGUUAUUAGGGAAGAACAAAUGUGUAAGUAACUAUGCACGUCUUGACGGUACCUAAUCAGAAAGCCACGGCUAACUACGUG
rnacentral:rRNA from 1 species